GAACGGAAAGGCCCUGCUUGCAGGGUACUCGAGUGGCGAACGGGUGAGUAACACGUGGGUGAUCUGCCCUGCACUUCGGGAUAAGCCUGGGAGACUGGGUCUAAUACCGGAUAGGAGCCAUUUUUAGUGUGAUGGUUGGAAAGUUUUUUCGGUGUAGGAUGAGCUCGCGGCCUAUCAGCUUGUUGGUGGGGUAAUGGCCUACCAAGGCGGCGACGGGUAGCCGGCCUGAGAGGGUGGACGGCCACAUUGGGACUGAGAUACGGCCCAGACUCCUACGGGAGGCAGCAGUGGGGAAUAUUGCACAAUGGGCGCAAGCCUGAUGCAGCGACGCCGCGUGGGGGAUGACGGCCUUCGGGUUGUAAACUCCUUUCGCUAGGGACGAAGCUUUUUGUGACGGUACCUAGAUAAGAAGCACCGGCUAACUACGUGCCAGCAGCCGCGGUAAUACGUAGGGUGCGAGCGUUGUCCGGGAUUACUGGGCGUAAAGGGCUCGUAGGUGGUUUGUCGCGUCGUCUGUGAAAUUCCGGGGCUUAACUCCGGGCGUGCAGGCGAUACGGGCAUAACUUGAGUACUGUAGGGGUAACUGGAAUUCCUGGUGUAGCGGUGAAAUGCGCAGAUAUCAGGAGGAACACCGAUGGCGAAGGCAGGUUACUGGGCAGUUACUGACGCUGAGGAGCG
rnacentral:rRNA from 1 species